CUUACACCUGCUUAAAAAGGAAACUACCUGGAACUGGGGGGAUCCUCAGGACCAAGCGGUAAGUGAACUGAGGAGGAAGCUCACUCAGGCACCCUGCUUAGCAUACCCAGAGGGGGGUAAACCCUUCUAUCUGGAGACAGGAUAUACCGAUUUAAGCAUCAGUGCUUUUCUGUAUCAGAAGCAGGACAGUUUAAACAAAGUUAUUGCAUAUGCUAGCAAGACUUUGUCACCUGUUGAAGUUAAAUUCAACACGUGUGAGAAGGCAUUAUUGUCGACUGUUUGGGCACUACAAAAUUUUCGUAGCUAUAUCCAAGGUGAGAAAAUAAUUGUAGAAACAGCUCACCAACCUCUACAGUAUCUGCAGAGUGAAAGAAUUAGAGACGGUAAUCUCUCUAACAGUCGGAUUACUGCAUGGACUCUAUCCUUACAGGGAUGGCCAUUAG